rnacentral:rRNA from 1 species
AGAGUUUGAUCCUGGCUCAGGAUGAACGCUGGCGGCGUGCUUAACACAUGCAAGUCGAACGAGAACUUGAGAGACUGAUUCUUCGGAUGAAGUCCCUUGAGGGAAAGUGGCGGACGGGCGAGUAACACGUGAGCAACCUACCCUUUACAGUGGAAUAACAAUCGGAAACGAUUGCUAAUACCGCAUAACAUAUACCUUAGGCAUCUUCGGUAUAUCAAAGAUUUAUCGGUAUAGGAUGGGCCUGCGUCUGAUUAGCUGGUUGGUGAGGUAACGGCUCACCAAGGCAACGAUCAGUAGCCGACCUGAGAGGGUGAUCGGCCACAUUGGAACUGAGACACGGUCCAAACUCCUACGGGAGGCAGCAGUGGGGAAUAUUGCACAAUGGGCGAAAGCCUGAUGCAGCAACGCCGCGUGAGCGAGGAAGGCCUUUGGGUCGUAAAGCUCUGUCGGGAAGGAAGAUAAUGACGGUACUUCCCGAGGAAGCCCCGGCUAACUACGUGCCAGCAGCCGCGGUAAUACGUAGGGGGCGAGCGUUAUCCGGAAUUAUUGGGCGUAAAGAGUGCGUAGGUGGUUUCUUAAGUGUGGGGUGAAGGCCAUUGGCUUAACCAGUGUAAGCCCCGCAAACUGGGAGACUUGAGUGCAGGAGAGGAAAGCGGAAUUCCUAGUGUAGCGGUGAAAUGCGUAGAUAUUAGGAGGAACACCAGUGGCGAACGCGGCUUUCUGGACUGUAACUGACACUGAGGCACGAAAGCGUGGGGAGCAAACAGGAUUAGAUACCCUGGUAGUCCACGCCGUAAACGAUGAGCACUAGGUGUCGGGGUCGCAAGGCUUCGGUGCCGCAGUUAACGCAUUAAGUGCUCCGCCUGGGGAGUACGUGCGCAAGCAUGAAACUCAAAGGAAUUGACGGGGACCCGCACAAGCAGCGGAGCAUGUGGUUUAAUUCGAAGCAACGCGAAGAACCUUACCAGGGCUUGACAUCCCUCUGACCGGCGUGUAACGGCGCCUUCCCUUCGGGGCAGAGGUGACAGGUGGUGCAUGGUUGUCGUCAGCUCGUGUCGUGAGAUGUUGGGUUAAGUCCCGCAACGAGCGCAACCCUUGUCAUUAGUUGCCAUCAGGUAAAGCUGGGCACUCUAGUGAGACCGCCGGGGAUAACUCGGAGGAAGGUGGGGAUGACGUCAAAUCAUCAUGCCCCUUAUGUUCUGGGCUACACACGUGCUACAAUGGCCGGUACAGAGAGAUGCAAUAUCGCGAGGUGGAGCAAAACUCUAAAACCGGUCCCAGUUCGGAUUGCAGGCUGAAACCCGCCUGCAUGAAGUCGGAGUUGCUAGUAAUCGCGAAUCAGAAUGUCGCGGUGAAUGCGUUCCCGGGUCUUGCACACACCGCCCGUCA